AUUGAACGCUGGCGGCAUGCUUUACACAUGCAAGUCGAACGGGCUGGGGGCAACUCCAGUCAGUGGCGAACGGGUGAGUAAUACAUCGGAACGUACCUCGUAGUGGGGGAUAACUCGGCGAAAGCCGUGCUAAUACCGCAUAUGCUCUACGGAGGAAAGCAGGGGACCGUAACAGGCCUUGUGCUAUGGGAGCGGCCGAUGUCCGAUUAGCUAGUUGGUGAGGUAAUGGCUCACCAAGGCGACGAUCGGUAGCUGGUCUGAGAGGAUGAUCAGCCACACUGGGACUGAGACACGGCCCAGACUCCUACGGGAGGCAGCAGUGGGGAAUUUUGGACAAUGGGGGCAACCCUGAUCCAGCCAUGCCGCGUGCGGGAAG
rnacentral:rRNA from 1 species